CGCAUUUGACCUCAUUUCUUGUCCUGUAGACAUAACUGAUAUAAGAAUCGUAGGCGUUUUUCAAGAAUGCCGACCCAGACAUUAUGAAAAAAAGGCAAAAUUGUGCCCGAUCAGGUAUUUUAGGCCAAAGUGAAUUGAUUUAGGCCAAACGCUUGACAAAAAGCCAAAAUUGAGGUUUCAUUUAGCCUCAAAAAGACCAAUCUGGCAACUCUGGACUUGGUGGGUGGUUCUUUAGAAUAUUCGUGUAUUUAAAUGUCCUUUAGCUUUACGGUAAUGAGCUCUAUUAUUGUAUUUGUAUUAUCAUUAAUUCAUAGUUCGUCCGUCCGUAAGAUCAUUAAUACACUUGGGGGAGGCACUAUGGUAAAUUUGGCGGGGUCAGUGCGUCGGUUCUUUCCUGGAAUAUUCGUGUAUUUAAAAUGUCCUUUAGCUUUACGGUUAUGAACUCUGUUAUUGUGUUUUUAUAGUCAUUAGCGUGGUUGAGAUACAAAGUUUGGCGGGGGUGCGAGUUGGCGCCAUUCCCGGUUGGUUCUUCUCUGGAAUAUUAGUGUAUUUCAAGUGUCCUUUAGCUUUACGGUUAUGAGCUAUGUUAUUGUGUUUUUAUAGUCAUUAAUUCAUAGUUCGUCCGUGCGUAAGAUCAUUAAUACGCUUGGGGGAGGCACUAUGGUAAAUUUGGCGGGGUCAGCGCGUCGGUUCUUUCCUGGAAUAUUCGUGUAUUUAAAAUGUCCUUCAGCUUUACGGUAAUGAGCUCUAUUAUUGUAUUUUUAUAGUCAUUAAUUCAUAGUUCGUCCCUGCGUAAGACCAUUAAUAAGCGUGUUUGAGAUACUAAGCUUGGCGGGGAAGCCAGCGUUGGCGCCAUUCCCGGGCCGACCUCCAUUCCAAGCAGACGCACGGCAAGACGCUCCUCACGAUGGCGCCAAAUAUUCACGAUUAUAACGCCGCAGCCCGGUUAUUAGGCAAUAGCACUACUUAAUUAAGUUGCCCUGACACAACAUGUAAGAGGCAGAAACAUAAUAUUACAGCACCCAAUACCUACCACGACAUGCUACUACACACAAUACUAGCACAGCCAUACCAAGAAAACAAGGUGGACAUUUUAGAACUAUUGUUAUGUAAAGAAGCGAUAAGACUGUGAAGUCAAGAACGACCUGAUCAGAAGAAUGGGGAAGAAGAGAAGAAAAGAAAACUGACCUCUUUUACAAUACACAGGUUACUGGACCCCUCCCUUUUACACAGACUACUACUACUACUACUACUACUACUACCAUAUUGCAGCUUUAAUCAAGAAACUUGAAACAUGCAUAAACAGAAGGAAGGAAAUUAAAUAUAUGCAAGAAUUUUGGAAGAAUCGCUUAAAAUCCGAGAAGAGAUGGCAGCACUCAACCAGGCACAAGAAAAUCAAGAAGUGGAGGCUCCGAACUGCACUGAACUGAACUGUAAACUUUAUCAGAAGGGAGGAUAUUAAAUAUACUCAAGAAUUUUAGAAGAAUCGCUUAAAAUCAGAGCAGCGAAGGCAGAACAACCAAGCACAAGAAGACCAUUUAGAGGGGCAAAGGCAACCCUCCGAACAGAACUGGAAACAAACAGAAGGGAGGAAAUUAAAUAUACUCAAGACUUUUAGAAGAAUCGCUUAAAAUUGGAGAAGAAAAGGCAGCACAACCAGGCACAAGAAGACCAUUUAGAGGGGCCGCUGCAAAGGCACUCCCUCCGAACUACACUGCACUGAACUGACCUGGUUACGGCGCCUGUACAAGUGACCCGGGAUGGAGUAUUGGCGGCAGGGCAGCUCUACGAAAGCUGCUGUGGGAGUGCUGCCCUCCACAGCAAGCAAGGGGCUGCCCUGCCCAGACCACAGCAAGAGGAGGAAGAGCU